UAUAAACAAUGGCGGAUAGGGCUCUAUGAAUAAACCGUAGGUUCUGCUUAGAACACAGGUGUGUGUGUGUGUGUGUGUGUGUGUGUGUAUAGGUGUAUAACAGCUCGUGCGAUCAGAAUAUGCUCGUUUCAUUACCGCUUUUCACCAUCCUGUUAUAAACACUCGGAUCUGUGUGUCAAUCCGCCGCUGCUGUAACAGAACAUUAUAAACCCAGAGAAACAGGGCGUUGAGGAUCACCGCGGAUGUGUGAUGAGAGCCGCAGGGGUCUAUAUUUCUCUGAUCGGAUGCAGCGGCGGCGGAAGGACCGAGUCGCUGUUCGGCUCUUAAAGGGCCAGUAUGGAAUAAUUCCAUUUCAGUUCAGCUGAUCUGUCUAUGUCUAAAGACAACUACUUACACCCUGGAUCAGGGAUAUGAGAAGGUGGAACUUUAAGCAGUAACCAUUGUGACGUCACACACCAAUUAAUGGUAAGUUGUUUUUCUAUCAACAUAAAAUUUGUGCUUUUUACAAUAUUUUACUGUAUUCAACAGCAAGAUUGAAUUUUAUAUCAGAAAGUGUCGAUUAAUUUUCAAAUAAUAGAAUUAUGAUAAUGCACUUGUAUUAAUACGUUCCUAUGGUAACAGCAUGUUCACUAGGGGUGUAACGAUACACUCACCUCACGAUUCGAUACGUAUCUCGAUACAGGGUUCACGAUACGAUAUGUAUCACGAUAUUUUGAACAAAAUGAAAAAAAUUAAACAAAUUCAAAUAACAGCUUUAUUUCUUAAACAUUAACAAUUUUCAUGAACUUUCUUUGUUGUACAUAUAACUUAAAAUCUGACAACACUGAGGUUUACUUCAACCUUCUCUAUGUCAGUUUCAAUUAACAAUCGAAUAGGCCUGUCACUGGAAAAAAAUUUAAUUUAACAUAAAAUUAGAAUUAAGUUUGCUGAAUCCUAAGACAGAAUGUUUUAGCGCAGUAAAGUGCAGUAAAACACUAUAAAAUAAAAUAAAUGGUGUUCUGUUCAAGUAAGUUUACAUUAAAAAUAAGAUCGCUGAAACCUAAGCCGAAAACCUGAACUGAACCUCAUAAAGCAGUAAAAAGUGCAAAAAGCAAAACUGUAAAAUAAAACAAAUGGUGUUGUGUUCAAGUGAGUUCAACUGUACUCCAUGGUGUUUUUUAGGUUACUCACAGGUUUUUUUUGCAAAAAACCCCCAGCAUAUCUACAUGUUUAGGUGAAAGCUGAGAUCUUUUUUUGAGAGCAUUUACAAUAUCUCCUGCUGUAGAAAAAACACGUUCACUGGGAACUGAUGUUGCUGGAAUUGUUAGGUAAGCCUUGGCAAGUGAGGAAAGAAGUGGGUACAUUUGAGCAUUUUCUUUCCAGUAUUUCAGUGGUUAGGGGAAUAGAAGUGUCCUUCUUGUACAUGUCAAUCUCUACUUCUAUCCUGCUGUUGGACUGGGCAGCUGCUGUUUUAGCAAAAGUUGCACCAAGGAGAUCUUCCAGUGCUGUCUUUGUGCUUGGUGGCUGUUCUUGCUCAACUCUGUGCAUUGCAUCUGCUGCAUCAGUGGGAUCUCCAUCAGUGGCACCUUUUGUCUCCAUCGGUUCUGUUUGCUCCACAGUACCAGCCUUAAAACAAUUUAAAUAUAUUAAAGAAGUAUAGUACACUUUUGGUUACACACACACACACACACACACACACACACACUCACACACACACACACACAAGGUCAGCACAGAUUACAAUUCAGUGACAAACAAACAUGUAAACGCUCAGAUUCUUGCACACAAAUGCAGACAUGCCUGCUGUAACUCUUUUGAUUUGUUCUUCAACCAGUAAAAAACCUCUUCACGUUGUUCAGGGAGGAGGUGGGGCAACGAUCGAAAUCUGGGGUCCAGGGCUGUGAGAUAAUCAUCUACCUCUGUGUAUCUGCUUGAGAGGUUUUGCAGGAUUGCUGUUUUCAUGUCAGAUACAGUUGUGGAGUCUUUUUCAUCCAGCAUCAUGCUCUGCUCGAUCAUGGAUUUCAAGGGUAUUAUGAGUGAAAGUGUGGCACUCUUUUCAUCAGACAGGACAGUGGUGGCUUUUUUGAGAGGUUGAAGAAGGUUUAGUAUUUCUUCGGCAUCACUGAUGUCAGCGCUACCCAUAGUAUCAAGUUGACGGGCAUUUUUGCGCACCUCUGGGCUCAAGAGUGCUGCCGUAAUAGCCGCGUGUUGCUCGAGAUAGCGUUCCAGCAUAUCCAUUGAGCUAUUCCAUCUUGUCACCACAUCCAUGAUAAGCUUAUGUGAUGCGAUCUCAAGCAAGUUUUGCUUUGCUGUGAGCACAGCUGUUGCUGUGGCACUGCAGUGAAAGAAAGCCACGACUUUUCUCACUCGACCAAGCAAGCGACUGACGCGGCGGGGAAUUCAGUCCUGCUUGCGACGCGAGAUUAAGUGUGUGAGCGAAACACUUAAUAUGCAGUGACAACCCGGCUUCUCUCACUGCCACAUCCAUGUUAUGAGCAUUGUCGGUUACGACAGCAAUGUUAUGAUGAGCCCUCUCAAGUUCCCACUCUUGUAUAGCCGCUUUUAAAACUUCGGCUAUGUUUGUUCCAGUGUGUGAAUCAAAAAGUGGACGAGUCUGAAGCACAAAACUUUUCAUUUCCCACUCUGUGGUGAUAACGCGCUGUAACUGUAAUAUAGCUUUGAUCGGCCCUCGACGUCCACCCGUCAGUCGUUAUUGCCACAUUCUCUGCCUUUUUCAGACAAUCAAGCAUAUUUGCUUUUGCUUCAGAGUACAGGGCUGGAAUUACAUUUUGGCUGAAGUGUGGGCGUGACGGAAUAUGGUACCUGGGCUCAAGUGCUCUAACCAGUUUGCGAAAUCCAACAUUGUCGACCACAGAAAACGGUCUCAUGUCUUUUGCGAUAAAAACUCUGAUUCUCCUAGUUAUGUCUUGAGCCCUUGCACUUGACUGAGCCCACGAUGCCGCAAAACUAUGCUGGAUUGACGUUUGGCCGUCUUUCACUCUCUUUUUCGCACCCAUUUGGAGGACUUUGUCGCUGUGGUGCCAUUUUAAAUGACACAUCAUAUUCGUAGUGUUCGAAGUUGUGUAUAUCAGCCUUUUUUUUACAGUGUUUACACACAGUUUGUGUUUUGUCUACAAUUUUUUUUACCAUCCUCUUCCUGUCGAGUGACCGGAAAACCAGAAUGCUGCCAGACGUCAGACUUGUAAGAGCAUGGAGCAUCCUCUAUUUCGAUGUCAGUUCCAGUUGAACACAUGUUGCUAACGUUCAGUUCUAGAGAUUUCUGUAACUCCGGUGAAUGUACACGUAACGCUAUUGCAGAGUGGGUCAGUUUUUGGCAGCUCAUCCUAUGGGAUUAAACGAUUGUCAUAUCGUAGAAAUAUCGCCAUCUAUCUAUGAUGCGUAUUGUGGCAUUUUUGCUUCGCGAAAUAUAUCGUACUACGAUAUAUCGUUACACCCCUAAUGUUCACACAAUCUAAACCUAAUAAAAAGGUUUGUGUUUAACAAAAGAAAUGCUUGUUGAUAAUUGUUGAUAUGGUACAAAAUUUCUGUUAAAAGAUUUUAUAAUAAUUUGAUGCCUAGAUGAUACACCAAGUCACCAUAAACUGGGUUUUCGGUCUCUGCUGGUUGGCCCUGUGUAACUGCUAUGAGUCAAUUACUCCACUAGAGGGCACUGUGGAUUUCAUUGAUGGGUACACAUGGUUGUUAGGUGCUACAUGUCUGAGAUCUGGAUAAAGCUGAGUACAUGUCUUUUAGUUAUUUUAGUUUCUUACAAACAGAACUAAGGCUUUAAUAGUCACUUGUGUCAAAUGUAUAAUUGUGUGAUACCAUGACAUCACCGGUGUCUCUGCACCGAAGAGCGUGAUUAUAAAUAAUGUCCUUUCUGCAGUCAUGUACAGUCAGUUGGAGUUGUGUGAUGCAGAUAUGUAGUGUAUAUGUAGUGUGUAUUAAUUAGGAGGUUGUUGUCAUCCUUAAAGUACUCAUAGUGUUGGCAUUGCUGCUUUAAAUACCCAAAUCCUCACAAAGCAGAAUCCAACUGGAGCCGGUCCAUCUCUGGAUGCAGUACAAGGUUAUGGGAUGUAUUAUGUGUAUGCCUGGUUAAAGAGAGUCUUUAAUCUAUGUUUAAACUGGGAGACUGUGUCUGAGUCCCGAACACUGUCCGGAAGGCUAUUCCAAAGUUUAGGAGCUAAAUACGAAAACGCUCUACCCCCUUUUGUCUGGAGUUUUGUGAUCUGGGAGCAGAAAGGAUGUAGCAUGUUAGAAGACUGGUUAGAUACGUGGGAGCUAAACCAUUUAGUGCCUUGUACAUAAGUAGUAAUGAGCAGAUUGUAUUGUGAUAUCCUGACACUAUUAAACUAUAAAACUUUAACAAUUGGUUUUUAUUGAUUUUUAUGUUAAAGCAUCUUGGGAAUGCAUAGAUGUAAUGGCACCAUAUACAUUAAGGAGGAGUUAGUGUUUGUCUAUGGUAGCUGACAUGCUGCAGUGACUGUAUUACUGGAAUAUUAGUGCACAUACUAACACUUUAGUUUAGCUUGGCCAUUAUACACAUAACUAUACUAGAAGACUGAUACAUGUGGCCCAUUGUCUUAUGCCUGUACUGUACUGGUACACAUAUUGUUUGAGUGUGAUACUUCAGUAUGUCCACUAGAUGUCCCUGUUUUUGUUCCAUAUAGCUGUUGGACAACGAAACUGGAAAACCUGGUUUUAGACCACAAUAAUUUAUUAUUAUAGUGUAGGGUCUAUCUCUGAAGUCAAUGACAGAUACAUGUCCUGCACAGUGCACAGAGGGAUUUUGAGCCAUUCUUCUAAUAUUUUCUGACGCUCUCCUCUAAAACUCCCCAAAGUGGAUCAAUAACAUUUAGAUCUGGUGACUGUGAAGGCCAUUAGUGAUGUUCAGCUUUACUUUCAUAUUCAUCAAGCCACUCUGUCACCAGUCUUGCUUUCUGUAUUAGUGCAUUAUUAUCCUGAUACACGUCACCACCUUCAGGGUGAAAUGUUUGAACCACUGGGUGCUCCAGGUCCUCCAGAAUGGUUCGGUAGUCCUUGGCAGUGACACACCAAUCUAGCACAAGGAGUAGGGAACUGCAUGAUACAGGACUUUGAUACUGCAGCCCAAAGCAUCACUGAUCCACUUCUGUGCUUCACUCUGGGCAUGCAGUCCAGUUGGUGAGCUUAUUUCUCCUCACAGUAUCUUUCCUGGUGCUAUUGUUCUUUUUAUUUAACUUCACACUUUGCUCUUUUUAAAAUUACACACAGUGUUUUGUUUUAUUCCUCAGAUUUUAUUUUGGUGCCACAAUGACACAUUUUUCAAAAUCCACUUUGGUCUCAGGUUGCAUCACACCGCCCCAGAAUAUUUACAUAUAUAUAUAUACACUGUGUAUAUGUUGACUUAAAGGAU